rnacentral:rRNA from 1 species
AGAACGAACGCUGGCGGCAUGCCUAAUACAUGCAAGUCGAACGAACUCUUCGGAGUUAGUGGCGCACGGGUGCGUAGCGCGUGGGAAUCUGCCCCUUGGUUCGGAAUAACAGUUGGAAACGACUGCUAAUACCGGAUGAUGACGAAAGUCCAAAGAUUUAUCGCCAAGGGAUGAGCCCGCGUAGGAUUAGCUAGUUGGUGAGGUAAAGCUCACCAAGGCAACGAUCCUUAGCUGGUCUGAGUAGGAUGAUCAGCCACACGUGGGACUGAGACACGGCCCAGACUCCGUACGGGAGCAGCAGGUAGGAAUGUGGACAAGUGGGACAAGCCUGAUCCAGCAAGUGCCGCGUAGAGUGA